AGCGAACGUUUGCGGCGGGCCUAACACAUGCAAGUCGAACGGGUUGGCAACAACCAGUGGCGCACGGGUGCGUAACACGUAGGUAAUCUACCCUCAAGUUCGGGAUAACGAUCUGAAAGGAUCGCUAAUACCGGAUGUGUUCCGAAAGGAAGAAAGACCCGCAAGGGUCGCUAGAGGACGAGCCUGCGGCCCAUCAGCUAGUUGGUGAGGUAAUGGCUCACCAAGGCUAAGACGGGUAGCUGGUCUGAGAGGAUGAUCAGUCACACUGGAACUGAGACACGGUCCAGACUCCUACGGGAGGCAGCAGUGGGGAAUAUUGCGCAAUGGGCGAAAGCCUGACGCAGCCACGCCGCGUGAGCGAUGAAGGCCUGGUCGUAA
rnacentral:rRNA from 1 species